UGGGGAAUUUUGGACAAUGGGGGAAACCCUGAUCCAGCCAUCCCGCGUGUGCGAUGAAGGCCUUCGGGUUGUAAAGCACUUUUGGCAGGAAAGAAACGUCAUGGGUUAAUACCCCGUGAAACUGACGGUACCUGCAGAAUAAGCACCGGCUAACUACGUGCCAGCAGCCGCGGUAAUACGUAGGGUGCAAGCGUUAAUCGGAAUGACUGGGCGUAAAGCGUGCGCAGGCGGUUCGGAAAGAAAGAUGUGAAAUCCCAGAGCUCAACUUUGGAACUGCAUUUUUAACUACCGGGCUAGAGUGUGUCAGAGGGAGGUGGAAUUCCGCGUGUAGCAGUGAAAUGCGUAGAUAUGCGGAGGAACACCGAUGGCGAAGGCAGCCUACUGGGAUAACACUGACGCUCAUGCACGAAAGCGUGGGGAGCAAACAGG
rnacentral:rRNA from 1 species